CUUGCAACUAUUGCAAAAAUUUAAUUUAGUAUCCACAAACGCAAAUAUUGCGGCAAUAUAUAGAUGUCUCCUUGCUCACGUUUUCCGGUGCUCAUCGCCACAACGUGAACGGCCGUCCACAGUGUUAGUCGCCCGAUUUUAAUCAAAUUUAAACUGUAAUUCUUAAAAAGUUAAUUAUUAGUACACGCAGAAAAAUGGUUAGAAAGAGCAUCCAAUUUUUAUUGGGUGAGAAAAAAUUGGAUGUUGUACCUAUUUAAAAUGAAAGAUCAAAUAACGGUGAUGGUUAUUUUAGCAAUUUAAAAAUGAUACCUCCGAUUGGUUUUUAUAUGCUUUGAAUUGGAUAAGACUGCCAACUUUGUUGGAAAUGAUGACUUAUACUGGAAUUCGAAUUUCGAUUAAUGAGUCAACUUUUUUGAAAGGCAGAAAAGAACUCGAUUAAUCGUAGUUGAAAAUCGUAUUCGACUGACUUUAUUCAAUCCUCGAAAAUUCUGUUGAAUUUAUAGGUUAAGAGUUAAAUUUUUUAUGAAAAUAAAUUUUUUCAAUUCGAGAAAAUUCAUCAUCAAUACUUAAAUAUACCAAAAUAAUAUCACAAAAGUACAUACAAACGAUUAUUUAACACGUAUACGUGAAAAUAAAAACAAACGGCAAUUAAUCAUUCAAAUAAAGUGUUCAAUUUUUGUCAAUUUUUAAGCCUACAAAAAUCGAUAACAUCGAUUAUUUUACAAUAAUCGACAAUCAACUCUCGACUAUCAUUGGCUUUGCAUUUUUCAUCCCUACUCUUUUCUGUUCUUUUCGGCUGCUCGCCACGCUCGCUUCGCUCGUUCCGGUAUUGCCCCUUUUUUUGUGUUAAGUUCCUAGAAAAUUCUACAAAAAGAGAUGGAUGAAAAAAGUUUGGAGUUUUUGGAAAAUGUGGAUCCCGAGAACGCAGAAUUUUUGAUUGUUCUUUUUAAAGGCAACGUACUACGUACCAAGGCAGCCGAAAACUAAUUUGGUAGGCGCGAAGCAGCCCAGGGGUAAAUUAUAUGAUAAAUAUACCUGUAUAAUAAAAGAUUUGCGUGCUUCAGGAUUACGGUCGAAAGAGUCCGAACAGCCAACAACUGUUCAUGACGAUGGAGUAAAGAGAGAUGAACAGGGUGAAGUGAAGGAAGACCUGGAGUGGUUAAGACGAUGCCUCGAACCCGAGGUUGAGGCUACUGAGCGGUGGAGGACUUCCGAUUAUCGCCUCCAUUCCUUAAGAGUUACUCCUACUAGAAAAAAGGCUAUUUGUCGUCAAAUUCAUUCAAUUACAAUUUAUUUGAAAAUAAAGAACUUAUUGAAAAUUUUUUUAAGCAAUUAAAAUAGAUAUAAUAUCACUGGUAGAUGGUUUUAUGAACCAACUAAAUACCAACCAUAUACAAAAAAUUGGAUCAAGCAAACAAGCGCUUGUUUUGUCGAACUCUCUCAGUUGGUGAAUAUAUCCAAUUCCUGUGGAUCCAAGAAAACUAGAUAAUCCAACCAACAAAUUGGAUCGCUCCCCAGCACCUAUUUAAAAUAGUUGUAUUAUCCAAUUCACAGGUGUAUAUUUCCAACUAUUUUUCUGCGUGUAUAUCUUAAUGAACUUAUAUAUUCUGAGAUCUUGACGUUCAUACAGACGGACAUGGCUAGAUCCGCUCGGCUAUUGAGCCUGAUCAAAAAUAUAUGUAUAUACAUUAUAGGGACGGAAACGUUUUCUUCGACCUGUUACAUAAUUUUCAACGAUUACAAAACAACGACUAUAAAAAGAAAAAAACAUCAUAUCUACUGUUUUCAAUUGUACGGGUAUCUUAUAGUCGGUGACUCGACUAAAGGUUUUUUUUUUUAUUUUUUUUUUACUUUCUUGUGUAAAGAUUGUAUAUGCAUGUUGUUAAAAACAUCGACUAGAUCGACUCUCCUAUUGAUGAUGAUCAGGAAUAUUUAUACUUUAUAGGGUCGGAAAUAUCUCCUUCACUCCGUUGCAAAAUUCUGACUGAAAUUAUAACAACCUCUGCGAGGGUAUAACAAAAAGCAAGUGGAAUCUAAUUGUUUGAAGCCAUGAAUCUAUGUUUAGCUUGUUUAGAAGCAAUGACUGAAAACUAAUCGCCUUCUAUUUUCACUUUAAUUUACGUGACCCUGCUAAUCACAGUUUGUAACAGUGUGUCACAGUUUUAAAAAAUUCUAUUCCAUAAAAUAGCGCUUGAACAAUGCAGGUUUUAGCUAUAAGUAAUCUUAUAUGAGUGGGCAGGCAAUUUUUAGUAACGGAUAAUGUCCUUAUUAUGCCAUAUGUUUUUCCUUCAGACUUUGUAAUAUGAUCACUCUAGGUAAGAGUUCUGUGAAUGUGAAACCUAAGUUUACAGCUGUUUCAACAUACUCAAGUGGCGCGUUAUUUUAGCUCAGUGGUCGCAAUAAAUUAACAACUAUCUUUCUAUUACUUAUGGCAAGACAUUUUGAUUUUGAUGGGUUGAUCCCAGUCCCUUGUUGCCGGCCCACUUAUUUUAGCUACAAACAGACGAUAUGAAGUAGAAUAGGCUGUUACACUUGAUAGACGUGCUUCAUUGCGUCUAAACAGCUGUUCCUUUUUUUGAUUUGUCAAGGAAAAUCCUCCCGCCUUUUUUUUACCAAAGUUCGUUGUUGUUGUUUUCGGUCAUUAGUGGUGACAGUACCCCACGAUAGUAUAUCGAUAUGCCAAAUAUCGAGUAAACAUCUAGUAUAAUCGAGUAAACAUAGGCAAAAAUCAAAAUUUUGUAGCCUGAUGCACUUUAACGCCCCUUUUCCUCAUCUCUAUCUGCCUAUACGAAACCUAUGUAAAAAAUAACUGCAUAUAGCCACAGACGCAAUGACGCAGUGAAUAAACCCAAGUGUAACUAGGCCCUAAGGGACGACUCGCAUAAAUUUGGACAUCAUCAGCAUACAAGUAGGACCAAAUCAAAUGAAGAUGAAACGCUAUACAGUACAACAGAUUGACGAUGGUUUUGAAGGUACGAAGACAAGAAGUUUUAGAAAACAUAAACAUCUACGAAGUUUACACAAAAGACAUUAUGGUUUACUUCGAAGACUUUAAAAAGCCAGUAAAACUAAACGUAUAACAUUAUUUCCGUCUAUUUGUUCCCUUAGUUCGUCUGAAAAUUUUAAAAUGGCUGAGGUACAGCUUUUUUUUCC